rnacentral:ncRNA from 2 species
AGAGGAAGCCGGUGCGAAUCCGGCGCGGUCCCGCCACUGUCACCGGGGAGCGGCAUCUCCGCCGAGCGCCACGGCCCCGCAUCGGGGCUGGAAGGCCAGGGGAUGCCGCCGAUCCGGAAGCCAGGAGACUC